UAAUACGUAGGGGGCGAGCGUUGUCCGAAGUUACUGGGCGUAAAGCGCGCGUAGGCGGGCUGUUAAGUGGGAAGUGAAAGGCUGGGGCUCAACCCCAUGCAGUGCUCCCCAUACUGGCAGUCUUGAGGGCGGUAGGGAGAAGUGGAAUGGCUGGUGUAGCGGUGAAAUGCGUAGAUAUCAGUCGGAACACCGGUGGCGAAGGCGGCUUCUUGGGCCGUUCCUGACGCUGAGGCGCGAAAGCCAGGGGAGCGAACGGGAUUAGAUACCCCGGUAGUCCUGGCCGUAAACGAUGGAUACUAGGUGUCGGGGGUAUCGACCCCUCCGGUGCCGCAGCUAACGCAAUAAGUAUCCCGCCUGGGGAGUACGGCCGCAAGGUUG
rnacentral:rRNA from 1 species